rnacentral:lncRNA from 1 species
GAGAGAGGUAAGAUGCGAGGAACUCGUCGAUCCGCGAGAUUGACUGGAGUCCCACUUGAAAGUGAGGGUACAACUACUCGUCCUCCUGUUUUGCCAAGGGCAAGGACUCACAGGUCAAGCAGGGAGGGAACAUCAAGAGACCCGAGAAGGUCUUCUGACGAGAGCAGAAGAGGAAUAGGCAGAGGGGGAAGAGCAGAAGAAGAGAGAGUUGCUAUGGAGGAGGAUCAGAG